AUAAAAACCCCCACUAGGUGGCGCUUUGCGGGUGGGCACUAUGCAGCCAUGUAGUCUCUGAGUGAUAUUCCUUACACUUCCAAAAACAGCAGUGAGUGGGGCUUGUGCUCUGCGGGGGCAUUAGGACGCAUCAGACUUCAUGCAGGGUGCUGGGUGGUUCUCCACACCAGCGCAGUUGGCGUCUCUGUAUGAAUUCAUGAUCCCAGGAGAAAUGUAAAAAGCAUGAAUUUGGUUUUUCUUGGCUGCCACAGUACAAGAGUGGGCAGAGACUGGAAGGCCCUGGACUCACAGACUCGACAGAAAAGCAGCGUGGGUGGGGUCCCUGUGGAAGAGGGGCUGGGUCAGUAAGACACGGAGCUGGCACAGGAGGGCCACAACCAGAACUCUUCCCGAGUGGAGAGUCGUCUGUGCCCUCGCACACGAGGAAGGCCGCUGGCAAAAGGGCAGGGCAGCAUCAGGCUGCCUCGGGCUCAGCAGAAGGGGGUGCCCCCAUCAAAGGCACACAGCUGGCUGCGGAGAGGGCAGGGGCCGUGUAGGACCGGGCAUAUAUUGUAUAAGCACAUGUGGCCUGGGGAGCUCUUCCAUCUCUGAGGACCCCUGAGCAGGGCCCUCAGGGCAUCUGGCCAGGCCCAGAGCAGCUCAGCCAGGGCCCGACCCUGCCCCUUGCUUCGGCCUUAUUUCUGCAGGCUCCUGACAGCCUCCCCAGUCGAGUGCCUCCGCCUGGGAAGUGCCUGCACUGCCCCAAGGGUAGGGGUGCUGCCACCACACCCAACACUGGGGACACUGGGACAGUGUCCAUUUUAACAAAGUAGGAGUGUCUGCUCUCACUUCUCUGUCCAGAGUUGUACAGGAUAUCAGGGGCAGUACCAGAAAACAGAAACGAGUCCAGAUCAGGAAGGAAGAGAGGAAGUGACCUCUCUUUGUAGACAACAUGAUUGCCUGCAUGGACAGUCCCAGAGGAUCUGCAGGGAACCAGUAGCUGUAUUUAGCAGGGUGUCCAGGUAUAAGGCCAAU